rnacentral:lncRNA from 1 species
AUAGGUGGAUGCCUAACUAUCAUCUUAACAUCGCCGGGGCAGAAAUUGGCUGGUGAAGAGAAACCGGGCAUUCAGUUCAGCCAUGUGAACAAUGACAUCAUACCAGUUGUCCGGACAGUCACCGUUGAAGAUGACCUGGCUGCAUGCAUCCAGACACUGCAGAAGGUCAAAAUUGAGGCAGCACCAUUGGCCAGUGGCAAACUUCCCUGCAUUGUCAGGCUGGCUCC